rfam:Oryza barthii chromosome 12, whole genome shotgun sequence.
UCUAAGAGUAACUAUAAAUUUUCUUGUCUAACUUUGAUCAUCUGUCUUAUUUAAAAAAAUAUAUUAUUAUUAUUAUGAGAUGAUAAAACAUAAAUAGUACUUUAUUCGUGACUUAUAUUUUUAAUUUUUUUUAAAUAAGACGAACGAUCAAAAUUGAACGUGGAAAAUCAUGGUUACACUUAAA